AUGUCUGUGUGGAUCAAGGCGGUGGUGGACAUGUUCGUGAAGGAGCUGCAGGGGGCACUAGACGCGGACAUCCAGGACCUCAUCAUGAAGGAGCAGGAGAUACAGAGCUACAUCCAGGAGCGCGAGCGCGAGGUUGCCGAGAGGGAGGCCGCCUGGAAGGCCGAGCUCUCCACCCGCGAGGUAGUAAUCCAACCCCCAUACUCCUCCUUAUCUCCUUUCCCACCAUUUUGA
rnacentral:rRNA from 1 species